AAACUUUCAACAACGGAUCUCUUGGUUCUCGCAUCGAUGAAGAACGCAGCGAAUGCGAUGAAGUAAUGCGAAUUGCAGAAUUCAGUGAGUCAUCGAAUCUUUGAACGCACAUUGCGCCCUGUGGUAUUCCGCAGGGCAUGCCUGUUCGAGCGUCAUUU
rnacentral:rRNA from 1 species